rnacentral:rRNA from 1 species
CGGUUAAGUUAGAAAGGGCGCACGGUGGAUGCCUUGGCACUAGGAGCCGAUGAAGGACGGGACGAACACCGAUAUGCUUCGGGGAGCUGUAAGCAAGCUUUGAUCCGGAGAUUUCCGAAUGGGGAAACCCACCACUCGUAAUGGAGUGGUAUCCAUAUCUGAAUUCAUAGGAUAUGAGAAGGCAGACCCGGGGAACUGAAACAUCUAAGUACCCGGAGGAAGAGAAAGCAAAUGCGAUUCCCUGAGUAGCGGCGAGCGAAACGGGAUCAGCCCAAACCAAGAGGCUUGCCUCUUGGGGUUGUAGGACACUCUGUACGGAGUUACAAAAGAACGAGGUAGAUGAAGAGGUCUGGAAAGGCCCGCCAUAGGAGGUAACAGCCCUGUAGUCAAAACUUCGUUCUCUCCUGAGUGGAUCCUGAGUACGGCGGAACACGUGAAAUUCCGUCGGAAUCCGGGAGGACCAUCUCCCAAGGCUAAAUACUCCCUAGUGACCGAUAGUGAACCAGUACCGUGAGGGAAAGGUGAAAAGCACCCCGGAAGGGGAGUGAAAGAGAUCCUGAAACCGUGUGCCUACAAGUAGUCAGAGCCCGUUAACGGGUGAUGGCGUGCCUUUUGUAGAAUGAACCGGCGAGUUACGAUCCCGUGCAAGGUUAAGCAGAAGAUGCGGAGCCGCAGCGAAAGCGAGUCUGAAUAGGGCGCAUGAGUACGUGGUCGUAGACCCGAAACCAGGUGAUCUACCCAUGUCCAGGGUGAAGUUCAGGUAACACUGAAUGGAGGCCCGAACCCACGCACGUUGAAAAGUGCGGGGAUGAGGUGUGGGUAGGGGUGAAAUGCCAAUCGAACCUGGAGAUAGCUGGUUCUCUCCGAAAUAGCUUUAGGGCUAGCCUCAAGGUAAGAGUCUUGGAGGUAGAGCACUGAUUGGACUAGGGGCCCCUACCGGGUUACCGAAUUCAGUCAAACUCCGAAUGCCAAUGACUUAUCCUUGGGAGUCAGACUGCGAGUGAUAAGAUCCGUAGUCGAAAGGGAAACAGCCCAGACCGCCAGCUAAGGUCCCAAAGUAUACGUUAAGUGGAAAAGGAUGUGGAGUUGCUUAGACAACCAGGAUGUUGGCUUAGAAGCAGCCACCAUUUAAAGAGUGCGUAAUAGCUCACUGGUCGAGUGACUCUGCGCCGAAAAUGUACCGGGGCUAAACGUAUCACCGAAGCUGCGGACUGUUCUUCGAACAGUGGUAGGAGAGCGUUCUAAGGGCUGUGAAGCCAGACCGGAAGGACUGGUGGAGCGCUUAGAAGUGAGAAUGCCGGUAUGAGUAGCGAAAGAGGGGUGAGAAUCCCCUCCACCGAAUGCCUAAGGUUUCCUGAGGAAGGCUCGUCCGCUCAGGGUUAGUCGGGACCUAAGCCGAGGCCGAAAGGCGUAGGCGAUGGACAACAGGUUGAUAUUCCUGUACCACCUCCUCACCAUUUGAGCAAUGGGGGGACGCAGGAGGAUAGGGUAAGCGCGGUAUUGGAUAUCCGCGUCCAAGCAGUUAGGCUGGGAAAUAGGCAAAUCCGUUUCCCAUAAGGCUGAGCUGUGAUGGCGAGCGAAAUAUAGUAGCGAAGUUCCUGAUUCCACACUGCCAAGAAAAGCCUCUAGCGAGGUGAGAGGUGCCCGUACCGCAAACCGACACAGGUAGGCGAGGAGAGAAUCCUAAGGUGAUCGAGAGAACUCUCGUUAAGGAACUCGGCAAAAUGACCCCGUAACUUCGGGAGAAGGGGUGCUCUGUUAGGGUGCAAGCCCGAGAGAGCCGCAGUGAAUAGGCCCAGGCGACUGUUUAGCAAAAACACAGGUCUCUGCGAAGCCGUAAGGCGAAGUAUAGGGGCUGACGCCUGCCCGGUGCUGGAAGGUUAAGAGGAGCGCUUAGCGUAAGCGAAGGUGCGAAUUGAAGCCCCAGUAAACGGCGGCCGUAACUAUAACGGUCCUAAGGUAGCGAAAUUCCUUGUCGGGUAAGUUCCGACC